rnacentral:tRNA from 2 species
UCCGGCGUAGCUCAGCGGUAGAGCAACGGACUGUUAAUCCGUGGGUCGCUGGUUCGAGCCCAGCCGCCGGAGCCA